ensembl:lncRNA
GCCAGUCCUCUUCUGGCUGUGCCGGGUGGAGAUUAUAACAGAACAUGGCCAAGAUGUUCAAAUGUUCAUAAAUGACCAGCAUGGUCAAAUAAUAAUAAGGCAGAACAGUUGAAACUGGAGCAGCAGCACGGCCAGGUGGACUGGGGACAGCAAGGAGUCAUCAUGUCAGGUAGUCCUGGGGCAUGGUCCUAGGGCUUAGGUCCUCCGAGAGAGAGAAAGAGAGAAUUAGAGAACGCACACUUAGAUUCACACAGGACACCGAAUAGGACAGGAGAGGUACUCUAUUUUGAGCAUUAUCUACAACCUGUGUUAAGGUGUCCUCUUUAGCCUUGUCUACAGCCUGUGUUAAGGUGUCCUCUUUAGCCUUGUCUACAACCUGUGUUAAGGUGUCCUCUAUAGCCUUGUCUACAACCUGUGUUAAGGUGUCCUCUACAGCCUGUGUUAAGGUGUCCUCUUUAGCCUUGUCUACAACCUGUGUUAAGGUGUCCUCUUUAGCCUUGUCUACAGCCUGUGUUAAGGUGUCCUCUUUAGCCUUGUCUACAAUGCUUGCUGCCGCUACAUGGCGCUAGGUUUGGG